AUUCAAUUUGGAGGAGCGAUCCGACAGGCAAACCGCCUCAGUCUCGUCUCUCGCAUCGACCAAACUAACGAGCACCAUUUUAAACUGACGCCUGUUUGUUUAAAUUCGGUUUUACAUGACUUGGACGGCAAAGCUUUGACAGUUGCCAAAGUUGGAUUUACUUUUCCUUUUUUCCCCUUGCCACUUCAGGCAAGCCCAGCGGUGGUAUUUACACCAAUUGUGUCUUUUUAUUCCAAAACAAAUUAGCCGAUGAUGUUUUGUCUGCAUGUCUAUUUUGUCGGUUUUUAUUUACAGAUCCCGCGAGCGUGGAGAGUCUGUAGAUAAUAAUAAUUAACACAAUUACGCGCGCAAGAGAUCGACUCGUCGAGGAGGCGGAUUGGCUCCGAAACGAGCCUCAUGGUGAUGUUGGGAUGUUCCUUUUGUGGAAAAGAUUGAAAAAGUAAAAACAGACCAAUUAAUUAAAUGUAUAUUUGUACAUGUAGCUGGAUUUAGGUAUAAGACUAAAUAAUAUUUGUUGAGAAAAACAGAGUUUUGAGUAAUUUAAUAGGAUACACUCACAUAUCAUGUAGAUAAUCAUACAGGAGGGAAUAUAACCGAGAUAUCACAUCAGCAAAAGUAUAGAGUUAUUUAAAAAUUUUAGUUUAAUAUGUUUGAAAUAUUUUUUUUAGAUGUGAAGACAUACUGUCGAUAAUUCAUUUUACAUGUUGAAUUCCCCAAAUUUUUUCCAAAGCUCUUAUAUAGCUAAUAAUUAGUUUUUACCGGUUGAAUAAAUGAUUCUUAAGUGUUUUCUUUACAGAAUUGUAAAGUAUGACUUGACUUUUUAUGUAUCAUUUCAGUUUUUCUUUCCUUAUAAUAAAAUGUUAUCAUUUUAUUAAAUAUGUUAAGUCCCCCUUUUGGUAAAUGUUGUGAGUCUAUGAGCAAUUCAAGUGUAUGCAUACAGACAAAGCCACAUAUAUACAGUGCAAGAGAAAGGUGUCGAACAAGAUUAUUUUUAUUUGAAAAUGUGGUUGUGGCAGAGAUAGUUUCAUAAAGAGCUCAUUCAGCGAUGAAGAUCACUCCCGCUCUCUCUGUCUAUUUGCCCUGAGGGCCACUAUCUAAAAUGGCAAUAGAUCCCAGAUAGUUCACUGUUCAAUUUGCUGAUGAUAGAUUAUAGUGCCAAUUUAAACAGAUAGGGAUCAAUUUGUCUCAAUGAUCACUCCUUAGGCCGACUGCCAGCAUGCUCUUAAUGUAUUUGUAAAUGCUGGUUGUUUGAAUCAUGGCUGUUGUGCUGAAAGUGAUCAAAACUGCAGUGAGGAGGGAAAUGAGCGCUGUAAAUGAUAAAUGAUGUGUUUUGGCUGCUAAAGGCUGCAUUGAUGGAGCGUACGUGAUGAUUACUUCAGGCGGAGGCAUUGUAGCAGCGGUGGCCAUAAGGUCAAUGGUUUAAGUCUGAGGACUUACUGGUAAAGUCUGGCGAGGAGAAUGGUGUGAUAAGUGCUGUGUAACCCUCAGGAACUAGUGCUGAAGUGCCCUUCGGCAAAGCAGCUUAAGCCCCCAUCUGUCCCAGUGGAGCUUCAGAGCAACCACAAGGACGAGACUGCGGUUUGCACCGGGCACUUGUGAAAUGUGUCUCCCCGAGUGUGACCUGCCCUCCCUCUUCUUUUCAGACUGGGAGAGUGGGCAGUCCACUCGCCUCACACUUUUUGUUUCACAGAGAAAAAGUUUGGGAGAAGCCACAGGAGAGAGGAAGCUGUGGCACAGUUCAGACCUGAACCAGACAUGGUUCACAUGUGGCCCUGAAGGCACCAGACAGCGUAUUGAAUUACUGUAACUCUAGGUGUAACGUGGGAGAAGUGUGGGAUGAAUAAAACGUAUGCAAACUGAAGUAGUGGUGGUGUUCAUGCAGCUUCAGCUAUUUCAGAUAUUUCAUGUCAGACGCAUUGAGAUGAAGAUUGUCUUAAAUCUCAGAUACAAUCUAUCAAGUUAUGACUUUUAAUUGCCAAUGGUGAUUAUCAGUUUAUUAAACUGUAUUGUAACAUGAAAACCUUUUGUCUCCAGGUUAUUGAGUUAGUUUACAUUAAAGACUGAAAUGCUUUGGAGAUCAGCUAAACCCUGCUGCAUCAACUGAUACCCACGAGUGAACAGCUAAAGCCUCGGCACACUGUUUACUUCAUCAGGAUGUUGUUGGACAUUUUGGAGACGCAGGGAUUUGAUGUAUCAGGGACGCGUGUGCAAUUAUGAAACGGCCAAGGAUGUGAUAAUGACUGAAGUAGCCAAUUAACCAGUGUUGUGCAUAAAUGCAAUUUGCAGUGUUACACCGACCACAUCCAUGACUAAUAAAAGUUUAAAGAUAUCACAUGA